AUGGCGCAGCAGAUAGAGCACACCCACCUCCUCCUCCGUGGGCUCAACCUCCACCUUGCUCAAGUAGGCAAAGAUGAGCUUGGGACGGUGGUGUUCUUGCACGGCUUCCCGGAGAUAUGGUACACGUGGCGCCACCAGAUGCUGGCCGUGGCCGCCGCCGGGUACCGCGCCAUCGCGCCCGACAGCCGCGGCUACGGGCUCUCCGACCAGCCGGCGGAGGACGUGGAGGCCACCUGGGAGGACCUCGUCGCCGACGUGCUCGCCAUCCUCGACGCCCUCUCCAUCCACAAGGUGUUCCUGGUGGGCAAGGACUACGGCGCCAUGCCGGCGUACGACUUCGCGCUGCGGCACCCGGACCGCACCCGCGGCGUCAUGUGCAUGGGCAUCCCCUUCAGCCCGGGGCCCUUCAACUUCGACACCAUGCCGGAGGGGUUCUACAUCCUGCGGUGGCGCGAGCCCGACAGGGCGGAGGCCGACUUCGGCCGGCACGACGUCCGCCGCGUGGUGCGCACCAUCUACAUCCUCUUCUCCCGCAGCGACGUCCCGAUCGCGGAGGAAGGGCAGGAGAUCAUGGACCUCGCCGACCUCUCCACGCCCCUGCCGCCGUGGUUCACCGAGGAGGACCUCGACGCCUACGCCGCGCUCUACGAGAAGUCCGGCUUCCGCUACCCUCUCCAGAUACCAUACAGGUCUCUGCACAGGAUGACGAAGCACGUGGACCCCAAGUUCCAGGUCCCCGUGUUCAUGGUGAUGGGGGAGAAGGACUACUGCUUCAAGUUCCCUGGUUUCGAGGCCGCCAUGAGGAGCGGCGUCAUGAACACCUUCGCGCCGAACCUCAAGAUCACCUACAUCCCUGAAGGAAGCCACUUCGUGCAGGAGCAGUUCCCGGACCAGAUCAACGACCUCCUACUCGGCUUCCUCAAGGACCAUCCCUGA
rnacentral:rRNA from 1 species